GAUGAACGCUAGCUACAGGCUUAACACAUGCAAGUCGAGGGGCAGCAUGAUUGAAGCUUGCUUCAAUCGAUGGCGACCGGCGCACGGGUGAGUAACACGUAUCCAACCUGCCGAUAACUCGGGGAUAGCCUUUCGAAAGAAAGAUUAAUACCCGAUAGUAUAGUAUUUCCGCAUGGUUUCACUAUUAAAGAACUUCGGUUAUCGAUGGGGAUGCGUUCCAUUAGAUAGUUGGCGGGGUAACGGCCCACCAAGUCAACGAUGGAUAGGGGUUCUGAGAGGAAGGUCCCCCACAUUGGAACUGAGACACGGUCCAAACUCCUACGGGAGGCAGCAGUGAGGAAUAUAGGUCAAUGGACGAGAGUCUGAACCAGCCAAGUAGCGUGAAGGAUGACUGCCCUAUGGGUUGUAAACUUCUUUUAUACGGGAAUAAAGUGGAGUAUGCAUACUCCUUUGUAUGUACCGUAUGAAUAAGGAUCGGCUAACUCCGUG
rnacentral:rRNA from 1 species